rnacentral:rRNA from 1 species
UACGAAGGGGGGCUAGCGUUGCUCGGAAUCACUGGGCGUAAAGCGCACGUAGGCGGAUUGUUAAGUCAGGGGUGAAAUCCCGGGGCUCAACCUCGGAACUGCCUUUGAUACUGCAAAUCUCGAGUCCGGAAGAGGUGAGUGGAAUUCCUAGUGUAGAGGUGAAAUUCGUAGAUAUUAGGAAGAACACCAGUGGCGAAGGCGGCUCACUGGUCCGGUACUGACGCUGAGGUGCGAAAGCGUGGGGAGCAAACAGG